rnacentral:rRNA from 1 species
AUUGAACGCUGACGGCAUGCUUUACACAUGCAAGUCGAACGGCAGCGGGGGCUUCGGCCUGCCGGCGAGUGGCGAACGGGUGAGUAAUGCAUCGGAACGUGCCCAGUCAUGGGGGAUAACUACGCGAAAGCGUAGCUAAUACCGCAUACGCCCUGAGGGGGAAAGUGGGGGAUCGCAAGACCUCACGUCAUUGGAGCGGCCGUUGUCAGAUUAGCUAGUUGGUGAGGUAAAGGCUCACCAAGGCGACGAUCUGUAGCGGGUCUGAGAGGAUGAUCCGCCACACUGGGACUGAGACACGGCCCAGACUCCUACGGGAGGCAGCAGUGGGGAAUUUUGGACAAUGGGCGAAAGCCUGAUCCAGCCAUGCCGCGUGAGUGAAGAAGGCCUUCGGGUUGUAAAGCUCUUUCGGACGGAAAGAAAUCGCACGGGCUAAUAUCCCGUGUGGAUGACGGUACCGUAAGAAGAAGCACCGGCUAACUACGUGCCAGCCGCCGCAGUAACAC